rnacentral:rRNA from 1 species
AUUGAACGCUGGCGGCAGGCUUAACACAUGCAAGUCGAGCGAGCGGCGGACGGGUGAGUAAUGUCUGGGAAACUGCCUGAUGGAGGGGGAUAACUACUGGAAACGGUAGCUAAUACCGCAUACCAUCAGAUGUGCCCAGAUGGGAUUAGCUAGUAGGUGGGGUAAUGGCUCACCUAAGCGACGAUCCCUAGCUGGGCGGAGAGGAUGACCAGGCUCCCUUGAUCGGAGACGCGACCCAGACUACUCUGGGAUGCGACAGUGGGGAAUAUUGCACAGGGGACGCAAGGCUGAUGUAGCCAAGCCGAGUGUGUGAAGGAGGCCUUCUGGUUGGAAAGCACUUUCAGCGAGGAGGCGUUACUCGCAGAAGAAGCACCGGCUAACUCCGUGCCAGCAGCCGCGGUAAUAC